rnacentral:rRNA from 1 species
AACGAACGCUGGCGGCAUGCCUAACACAUGCAAGUCGAACGAAGCCUUCGGGCUUAGUGGCGCACGGGUGCGUAACGCGUGGGAAUCUGCCCCUUGCUUCGGAAUAACAGUUAGAAAUGACUGCUAAUACCGGAUGAAGUCUUCGGACCAAAGAUUUAUCGGCAAGGGAUGAGCCCGCGUAGGUUUAGGUAGUUGGGGGGGUAAAGGCCUACCAAGCCGACGAUCCUUAGCUGGUCUGAGAGGAUGAUCAGCCACACUGGGACUGAGACACGGCCCAGAAUCCUACGGGAGGCAGCAGUGGGGAAUAUUGGAAAAUGGACGCAAGUCUGAACCAGCAAUGCUGCGUGAGUGAUGAAGGCCUUAGGGUAGUAAAGCUCUUUUACCAGGGAUGAUAAUGACAGUACCUGGAGAAUAAGCUCCGGCUAACUCCGUG